UAUAUAUAUAUUACUUAAAGCCAAUAUCAAAUGUCUUUGAAUAAGAAAAAUAGUUUAAGAGAAUAAAAUAUUAGUGCAAGAAGUCAAUGUCGACAUGUGGAUGCAGGAUCUGAGGUGGCUCACUUUAAGCAUUUGUAUGGACAUAUGACAGGCAGAAACAGAAAGGUAGGUUAGAUCUGUAACAAAUGUACUGGUGUAUUUUUAUAUGCUUUAUAAGAAAGUUUAGACUAGAUAGAACAUAUGACUAAAAAAAUCUAACUAUGAUUUACUACAAAUCCUGUAAGUUAAGGUAAAACUAAAAUAGAAUAAAUGGGACUCUGAAAAUUUCUGUUUCCAGACCUGUUAAGUAUGGAAAAAUCUGGUGCCAUGUUUUAAAUCUUCUAAAAAUAUGAUGCAAAGAUAAAAUAAAAUAAAAUAAAAAAGAUAGACAUGGAGUUUUCUUUAUACAUAGAAGAAUAAAUAUUUAAGCUAUAUUUUCUCAUGUUCCUUCACAUUUUCGUUGUUUUGAUUGAUUUUUAAUCCCCAUCACAAAUCCAUUCUCCCCUCAGAGACCCAUAGAGUUAGUCACAAUGUGAGGAAUGUUUGCUCCUCAUGUCGAAGAGAAGCUGUUUUGUUGUGUGUCACGGCACAUGUCGCAUUCAUUAGAGUUGCAUUAGAGCAUCGUUAAAAGGACGAUGUUUCUAAUCCUUCCGUCUGCAGGAGCCGGUCCAGCUGCAAACAUGAUGGCUUCCAGGGUUCUGCUCGCCUUCGCUUUGUUCCUGCAGUUGAAUGCUUCAUCCUCCUCAGCUGUAGACUCAUCCAAAUGUGUAGCAAUAUGGACUUUCAAGUUUCCCUGCACAGAACCUGUCAGAGACUUGGUGAACCAGGUGAAGACUUGGAGCACAAAAAAGUGUCACAGUGGUCCAGAGAGGUGCAUGUAUGAGAUUAAGAUAGAGUCCCAAAGAGAACUGGAAGUUACUCACACCUCCUCUCAAACUGGCAAAGUGACCAACAUGAACUUUGUGUUUGGCUCUACACCAAAUCCUUUCUGCAAAAUCAAAGCUAUCACAAGAUCUCAGAACAGCACUAAUCCCAAUGACUACUGCCUCCUCUACAGCCUCAUAGAUGCAAGCAGAGUGACCCAGGCUCCAGGCUACGAGAUCUGCAACGAGAACAUGUGUCCCUCUAAGUCAUCAUCAGCAUCCUGCAACAGCAAAGAUGUGCCUGUGUGA
rnacentral:lncRNA from 1 species